rnacentral:lncRNA from 1 species
GAAUAAUCUCAACCAUACAAUAUUUUUUCUCAAAAGAGAAUAUUAUUACCAAAUGUGCCAGAGGAGCGUUUACCUCACGACUCGGGAGUUAUGACGGUACCGUUACCUCAGUCACGACUCACAUAUAGUGGCAGUGAGGAGGGUCAUUCUUUAUCACCAAUGGUAGGUGCUAGCAUGUUAGAUUAGUAGUCAACCAAAAAGGUAAGCAACAACCAAGCUCACCAGGCAAACAACAACCAAGUUUGCCAAAUAAUCAACGCAAGCACAACAAUCAAGCUUGCUAACUAGUAGGCAAACACACAACCAAGCUUGCUAACUAGCACACUAGCACACAAGAUAUAAA